AAAUGCCAUCCGCUGUGUGAACCUGCCUGUCUGAACUCUGGAGUGUGUGUCGCUCCGAACACCUGCGACUGUCCUGCAGGAUAUCCUGGACCAGGAUGCUCGGCCAUGUGUUCUCCACCCUGCGCUCAUGGAGGGUCCUGUAUGCGGUGGAACGUCUGUCUGUGUCGUCCGGGCUGGACAGGGGACGGCUGCCACACAGCCGUGUGUGAGCUGCCGUGUGCGAACGGUGGACGGUGUGUCGCUCCAAACACCUGCCAGUGUCCCUCCGACUACAGCGGAGCGCAGUGUCUCACCCCUCUGUGUUCUCCUCCGUGUGUGAAUGGAGGGAAGUGUGUGGACAUCAACACCUGCAGCUGCUCAGACGGAUGGACAGGAGCUCGCUGUC